rnacentral:rRNA from 1 species
GGCGCAAGCACUGAGUCCAGCCAUGCCGCGUGAGUGAUGAAGGCCCUAGGGUUGUAAAGCUCUGUCACCGGUGAAGAUAAUGACGGUAACCGGAGAAGAAGCCCCGGGCUAACUUCGUGCCAGCAGCCGCGGUAAUACGAAGGGGGCUAGCGUUGUUCGGAAUUAGCUGGGCGUAAAGCGCACGUAGGCGGAUCGUUAAGUGAGGGGUGAAAUCCCAGGGCUCAACCCUGGAACUGCCUUUCAUACUGGCGAUCUUGAGUUCGAGAGAGGUGAGUGGAAUUCCGAGUGUAGAGGUGAAAUUCGUA